rnacentral:sRNA from 1 species
AUCCCUCACUGCUAAGCUAUCCCUCGCUGCUAAGCUAUCACAGCCAAUCUAUCGCUGCUAAUCUAUCGCUGCCAACCUAUCUACCGCGGCGAAUCUAUCUAUCGCUGCCAAUUUAUCUACCACUGCCAAUCUAUCUAUCGCUGCCAAUCUAUUGCUGCUAAUCUAUCGCUGCUAAUCUAUCGCUGCUGCCAAUCUAUCUUUCGCUGCUAAUAUAUCGCCGCUGCCAAUCUAUCCCUCGCUGCUAAGCUAUCCCUCGCUGCUAAGCUAUCCCUCACUGCUAAUCUAUCGCUGCCAACCUAUCUAUCACUGCCAAUCUAUCUAUCGCUGCUAAUCUAUCGCUGCUAAUCUAUCGCUGCUAAUCUAUCGCUGCUAAUCUAUCGCUGCUAAUCUAUUGCUGCUAAUCUAUUGCUGCUAAUCUAUCGCUGCCAACCUAUCUACCGCGGCGAAUCUAUCUAUCACUAUCAUUACUAGUUCAAAAUAGAACUAGAGCAUAAAUACACUAAACUUCUUUUGAUAGGUAAUGAUUUUUGGUAACACUCAUAGCAUUAUAUCAUCUAUAUAGAGUAAAUCAUGGUCCCAUUUGGUCCCAUUUUAACAAAAUGGGAUCAAAUGGGACCAGAAUCAGUAAUUUAUAAGAAGAACAUGACCUGGGACU